UCUUCCAGUGACCAAGUUCAUGACAGUAAAAGCACUCUUUGUUUGGAGCAGGUCCAGGUCCAGCUUUAACCUUGGGCGCUGGGUUUGGCUUGGACGCUCCAGCCUUGCCCUUCUUCUUCCAAGAAUUGCCCUUAUUCUUAAAGCUAGGCUUGUUCUGUAUAGCCAUCACAUGGCUGGUACUAGCGCUUUUCUUGAUGUCAGCCUCUGUUGUUUUAAGCAUACCACACAGCUCAUUCAGACCCUUCU
rnacentral:lncRNA from 1 species